CUUUGUCCCCAUUUCUUAUUCUCGACUUUCCUUCCUGCUUUGACUCCUCUCCCGGAGCCUGACUCCUGGCCACCAGAACUCCUGUUACCUGCUCCUUGAUGAAGCCAUCUCUCUAGAAUGCACCUGUCUGACCAAGCCCACCCAAUCUGACAGAGAGGGACGCUAGAAUAAAGGCACCCGGCAACCGAAACUUGCAUGUGAUAAUGAGAAUGCUUCUAUUCACAAUGGAAGGAAAUGCUAAGUUUCUUUUUUUUUUUUUUUACUUGACCCCUUUUACCCAUUUCUCCCACCCCCAACCCACGGCCUCUGGCAACCCACCAAUCUACCCUUUGUAUCUAUGAACUUGUUUUGUUCUUGCUUUAUUUCCCAUGUAACAGAGAUCAGAUGGUAUUUGCCUUUCUCUGACUUAUUUCAGGAAAUGUAAGUUUCAAUUAGACGUUAGUGACAAUAAAGAUAUAGUUUUUGUUUGGUUUUGUUUUCUUUUUAGGCUCAAGGAUCCCCAGAUAAUAUCCAUAAAACCACCCAUGGGCCCAGGUGUCAAACUCCAGCCGUGGAUGAUUAGAAAGCCAAUUGUAAAACAGGUUCCCGCUGCUGCUGAAUGACCCAGCGUCCAGCGAGGUCCCCGCCUUGUGACUGUCUUCCCCAGGGUGGGGCCGCUGUGACUGCUGUCUGGGGUGGGCCCGCUGGUGCUAUUGGCCCCCAGCACUGAAGGUUCUACCGCUGGUCCCGGUGGCCAUCACAGCAGGUGCCAAAGCUGGGAGAGCCUCACGUGGGACCUGAAUUGGAGUGAGGACUUGUGCUCUCACCAGGCAACAGAGAUUUCGAUAGGGAAACUGAGGCCAAGACCAUUAGAAAGCUGUACUCAUCGCGAGGCGAGAUUUAAAGAAGUAUCACCACAUGGAUCCAAGAACAUUCUCGCAUUGUUAACUGCUUCAAGACCUUAACUUGAUGCCCAUAUGACCUUGAACUCCUUUGGGGAAUCAUAAAACUCCUCUUUUAGUGACUUUCAGACUGUGGGCUUUGACCCCUAGGAAGUUGGGGGAAAACUGUGAAAUAAAUGUAA